GCCCCGCUUCCAGCCCGGCGGCAGCCCCGGGCGCCGAGGCGCGCUCGCCCACCGCCCUCUCCCCGGCGCGGCUCCUCCUCCCGGCCUCGCGGCCCCAGCGAGCCCCCAGCCGCGCGAGCGCCCAGCCUGGCUGGGGGCGCCGAGGAAGAUGAGAGACGGCUCUGGCACCAGCAGUAGUACCA
rnacentral:lncRNA from 1 species